GUAUUGCUCGGGCUGCAGGGUGCCAGAGCCAGGGCCCAUCCCACUGCCCCAGUCAGAGCCAGGCAUCUGAGGGCACUGGGGAAGCUCUAGGUGCAGGCAUCAGGCCUCCCUCUGGGAACAGGCCAAGGCCAAGACCAGGCCAGGACAUGGGCCUGUGGGGUUGUGUAGGGCUGGAGACCAGCCUUGCAGUGGUGUCACAGGGGUGGGGACUGAUGGCCUCUGGGGGCUGAAAUGGGGCCCUGGGCCCUGGGCAGGGUGGGGGGAGCCUCAGGGAGUAGUCAGGGCUGCUGGUGCCCUCAUGGACAUGACAGUUAUUUUGCCUCCUACCCCAGCUGGUCCCUGUAAGCAAUGUCAGAGAAAAACCCUGUUGGACUUGCAAGACCAAAACAAGAGCACUGAUGAUGCAUACUCAGCUGUUGACACCUGACCUGAGUUUCUAAGGUUCACUUUGCUGAAGUGACUCAUCAAGAUUUGGUGAAGCUACUGUAAAAGCAUUGCAAAUAUCGACAUAAAUAAAAGCAUGACUUCUGAA
rnacentral:lncRNA from 1 species